rnacentral:tRNA from 1 species
GCACCCGUGGUGGAAUGGCAGACACGGCGGUCUUAGGAGCCGCUCCGAUUUCGGGUGGGGGUUCAAGUCCCCCCGGGUGCACCA